UACGUAGGGUCCGAGCGUUGUCCGGAAUUACUGGGCGUAAAGAGCUCGUAGGUGGUUUGUCGCGUUGUCCGUGAAAACUCACAGCUCAACUGUGGGCGUGCGGGCGAUACGGGCAGACUGGAGUACUGCAGGGGAGACUGGAAUUCCUGGUGUAGCGGUGGAAUGCGCAGAUAUCAGGAGGAACACCAGUGGCGAAGGCGGCUUUCUGGACGGUAACUGACGCUGAGACGCGAAAGCGUGGGGAGCAAACAGG
rnacentral:rRNA from 1 species